CCUACGGGAGGCAGCAGUGAGGAAUAUUGGUCAAUGGGCGCGAGCCUGAACCAGCCACGCAGCGUGAAGGAUGACUGCCCUACGGGUUGUAAACUUCUUUUAUAAAGAAAUAAAGUGAGGCACGUGUGCCUUUUUGUAUGUACUUUAUGUAUAAGGAUCGGCUAACUCCGUGCCAGCAGCCGCGGUAAUACGGAGGAUCCGAGCGUUAUCCGGAUUUAUUGGGUUUAAAGGGAGCGUAGAUGGGUUGUUAAGUCAGUUGUGAAAGUUUGCGGCUCAACCGUAAAAUUGCAAUUGAUACUGGCAGCCUUGAGUACAGUAGAGGUAGGCGGAAUUCGUGGUGUAGCGGUGAAAUGCUUAGAUAUCACGAAGAACACCGAUUGCGAAGGCAGCUUACUAAACUGCCACUGACGUUGAUGCUCGAAAGUGUGGGUAUCAAACAGGAUUAGAUACCCGGGUAGUC
rnacentral:rRNA from 1 species